rnacentral:rRNA from 1 species
AGAAUCAACGCUGGCGGCGUGCCUAACACAUGCAAGUCGAACGAGAAAGUGGUAGCAAUACCAUGAGUAAAGUGGCGCACGGGUGAGUAACACGUGACUAACCUACCCUUGAGUGGGGGAUAACUGAGGGAAACCUUAGCUAAUACCGCAUAAUACCCACGGGUCAAAGGAGCAAUUCGCUCGAGGAGGGGGUCGCGGCCGAUUAGUUAGUUGGCAGGGUAAUGGCCUACCAAGACGAUGAUCGGUAUCCGGCCUGAGAGGGCGCACGGACACACUGGAACUGAAACACGGUCCAGACUCCUACGGGAGGCAGCAGUGGGGAAUUUUGCGCAAUGGGGGAAACCCUGACGCAGCAACGCCGCGUGGAGGAUGAAGUCCUUCGGGACGUAAACUCCUUUCGAUCGGGACGAUUAUGACGGUACCGGAAGAAGAAGCCCCGGCUAACUUCGUGCCAGCAGCCGC